rnacentral:RNase_P_RNA from 1 species
GAAGCGCGCCAGACCGCCGCUGGUGCAAGUCUCGAAAGAGCGCACUGGAGGAAGGUCCGGACUGCACAGGACAGCGCAGGAGCUAACGGCUCUCCACCGCGAGGUGAGGAUCAGAGCAACAGAGACGAGUCGGCCGGGGGCAACCCCGGUCGGGUGAAACGGGCAAUCUCUGCGCGCAGCAACACCAAGUAGGCCAGCGUCGAUGUGGUUCCGCAGAGCUGGCGGGUAGGUGGCACCGAGCCGUUUGGCGACAAACGGCCCAGAGUAAUGGCGGUCACGUUGGGGGCAACCUCAACGCACAGAAUCCGGCCUACAGGCGCGCUUCACAC